ACGGAGGAUGCGAGCGUUAUCAGGAUUUAUUGGGUUUAAAGGGUGCGUAGGUGGACUGUUUAGUCAGUGGUGAAAUGCUGAUGCUCAACGUUAGCAUUGCCGUUGAAACUGACAGUCUUGAGAGUGAUUGAGGCAGGCGGAAUGUGUGGUUGAGUGGAGAAAAACAAAGAAACCACGCAGACCUCCAAUGGCGAGGGCAUCAUCCAAAGCCACAACUGACUCUGAAGCACGAAAGCGUGGGGAUCAAACAG
rnacentral:rRNA from 1 species